rnacentral:misc_RNA from 1 species
GAUCUUUUUUUGCCAUUCAGCUCUGUUCUGUUUGAAACCAAUCCUGCAUUAAUAUUGCUAGUAUUACAAUUUUAAUUUUCCUUAUUACCAUUACCAACUGAGGAGAUAUUUAUUCAUACAUGACUUUGCAAGUAAUUUGAUAGCAAGUAAAUAACAAGGUAAACUGAAGAUAGCACAUUGCGUCUUUCCAAUUCGAGAAAGUGAUUACGUUGAGCAGUAUUUACUAAGUUAACAAUGUGAUUAAGUAGAAAAAGAAUUCCCUCAUUAGACUUCUUUGGAUGAUCAUUACAGCACAUGAAUUUUAAUACUAGAGUACUAAUCCUCAAGCUCAAACUAUUAAACAAAUUUCAUUAGUUCCCAUCAUCCAUACCUGUUAAGUCAUUUAUCGCACUU